GAUGAACGCUGGCGGCGUGCCUAAUACAUGCAAGUCGAGCGAACGGACGAGAAGCUUGCUUCUCUGAUGUUAGCGGCGGACGGGUGAGUAACACGUGGAUAACCUACCUAUAAGACUGGGAUAACUUCGGGAAACCGUAGCUAAUACCGGAUAAUAUUUUGAACCGCAUGGUUCAAAAGUGAAAGACGGUCUUGCUGUCACUUAUAGAUGGAUCCGCGCUGCAUUAGCUAGUUGGUAAGGUAACGGCUUACCAAGGCAACGAUGCAUAGCCGACCUGAGAGGGUGAUCGGCCACACUGGAACUGAGACACGGUCCAGACUCCUGAGGGAGGCAGCAGUAGGGAAUCUUACGCAAUGGGCGAAAGCCUGACGGAGCAACGCCGCGUGAGUGAUGGAGGUCUUCGGAUCGUAAAACUCUGUUAUUAGGGAAGAACAUAUGUGUAAGUAACUGUGCACAUCUUGACGGUACCUAAUCAGAAAGCCACGGCUAACUACGUG
rnacentral:rRNA from 1 species